UUUGCUAUAGUGAUGUGUUUCUGUGGUCAAAAACAGGUUUUGUUACAUUGUUUGCAACGCAUAUCUUGCAUCAGCUUUUUAGGAAUAGUGACAAGAGUAGUGACAUAAUGAACUUAUUUAUCGCCAAAACACAACGACAAUCCUUUCUCUUCGAUACUCCUUCUAAUGCAUUAAAUGUUUCUAAUGAAAUGAAUUCACUUAGUUAUUCUACAGAUCAUAUAAAAUCAUCCAAUAUAUGGCGCAUGUUAUACCAUUUGAUAACUCCUGAUAUGUUUUGGACUGGUAUCCGCACAUAUGUUAAUAACAAACAGUAAGUAAUAUCUUUUGAAAUCUUUCGCUAGA